GAGAGGCGUGUGUAUACCAGUGCGCCUGCAUUCGCUUUCGCGGCUUUUCAGAGUGCAAUUUUUCUCCGAGUUUUACCGCUUUUCCCGAAGGGGUUGAAUAGCUGCCUUGGUUAGUGGCGAGGCUCGGCACAGUCAGUGGCUGUGCAGGGUGACGGUGUUUCAGUCUUACUUAGCCCUCAGUCUGGAUCAUGUGGCAACGCGCGGGUGCAUCUGCAGCUAUCAGAGGACAUCAUCAUCCAGAACUGGCUGGUAGCCCUUUAAAAGCAACAACUAGGUGGCUGUUCUCCGUUUGACAACUGUUUCUGUGAAUGAACCCUGUUACGUUUUUGAUUAGGAUGGGUAUGAAGCAGGGAAUAAGCAGACAUUGGGGAGCCUUUUCUUCUCCUUUCAGGACCUCAUUCAGACCAGGUCUGAACAUCCAGGGAUCUAUAUCCUGCAGAAUCCUGCUUCUUCCAAGAGUUCAUGGACCUUCUGAUGUCCAAUGGGGCCUGUCCCUCAAAGGCUGAAUUUAUCAUCUAUUGAAUUUCAGGGGUUUCAGGAUCAAAAGGAAUGAAAACCCAGAAUGCCUCACAAUUCAUUUCAUAGAAAUAGUCCAGGCUUUCAUCUGGUUCAUGUAGCACCUCAGUGAUCUUUGCCAUGUUAACAGGCUUCUUAGCCCUGUCUUUUACCCCCUGUUGGAGGGAGGGCCGGUGGAUAUCUCUCCAACUGGUUUCUCCCCCCCGCCCCGCUCAGUACUGGGGUACCAGUGAGGCUCUUCCUCUGGGAAGUUCUCCAAAGUGCAGUUCUCCACAUCUAAUUGGGCCCCUGGGGCAUUGGCCUGGAGUCAUUUUCUAGCGUUUGUCAUGACUACUUGGCGUUCCUCUGUAUUGAAUAAGGUGAGGAGAUGCUGCAGGCAGUCUCCCCAGGUGGGACAGUGGGUCUGGAAGAUGGAUUCUAAGACACCAAUCACCUCUUGGGGCAUUUCAGAACUUGAGAGGGUGUGUUGUUUCCAGUUAAGGAGAUCAGUCAUGGAAAAAGGCUGGUAGUAAAACAUGGGUCAGCACAGCAGAAACUGUGAGCUUGUUUAUGUCUCUUGAUGUAAUUGUAGAUUUCUGGAACCAGUGUCCGGAGCUGUCAUUGGCCAUCCUUUCCUCCUUCCUGUUUUGGACCGGGGCGCCACAGAGAUACAUUGACCUGUCUCCCCGAGCCUGUAGAUGCCUCGUGCCUCCUCUUCUUGUUCCUCCAAGUCUCAUGUUCUGUCACCUUCAUCUCUGCGUCUGAUGUGGGCCAGACACAUGCACACACACAGAAACACAUGCAAACCAGGUGACACAAACAUACCUGUGUAAACACACAUGAGGAAGGCACAGUGACACAAAUAACAAACAGGGAACACAGGUGUUUCAGUAGCUGAAGAUGCCUGGGUCCAGCAAUUUGGGAGAUGGCAUCAGUAGGCACCGUGUCCUGCCCUUUUGGGAUCCCUGUCCAUUUCUUCCCCCAGAUGUUCAGUAUUAUCACCAGCCAGCCUUAAGUCGUUUCUGGCUUUUCCUGUGUGGUGGUGGUGAGAGAGAGGUCAAUUGGUGGAUGUGGAAAUUCACAGAAGACCCCAAAGUCAGCACAAAAGGGCCAAGGGACAGUGGAGAGAAACCCAUUCCAACUGGUGGUGCUUUCCAGGAAGAAGGGCGGGACUUAAGAGCCCAGGGGAAUCUUAAACUCAGUGAGCAGCAGGAGGCCUGGGAGUGGCCAACCUGGGAAAAGAUGAUUCUGACAAAGGUGCUUGAUUCACCCUGCCUCUAUCAGAAUCACCUAGGGCUCUCUCAUCUUGUAAUCACAGCUUCUUUGAGUAAUGCUUGGACACACGAAGUCCCCAAGCCUCCAGUCUCAGCUUGUCACUUGCUACCAGUAUGACCCGAAUCCAGGCUCCACAUCCAGCCUGCAUGAGCCUGAGCAUCCCCAUUUGGGAAAGGAGAGUGUCCCAGCCUCUGCAUGGCUGUCCCUUCAGAGCCCACCUUUGAUGCCCUCACAACCUGUGUUUCUGUCAGUAACCUCCCAUGGUAAGAUCUACCUCUCUGGGAAAUACUGCAGGAGGUCGACCCACAGGUCUUUGCUGAUUCUCUGCUGGCAACACGAACAAGAUCAGCAUGGGGCUCACGAGGACCCGAACGCUUCAUGAACAGUGAAGAACUCCAACACAACUCGCCAAUUCUGCAGAGGCCCAGAGCAACCCCAUCUCAGCUUUCCUGUUUGAUCCUCGGCUGUUGUGAUCCAACAACCAGUUGAGGAAGUUAAGGCUGCUGGUUUCCAGCCUGUGGCUUAGAGCUCCCCAUUUAUAAACCCAGAACCAGUGGACUGGCAUGCAGUGACACGGCAUAUAUCCUGGAGAAAGACAGGGGAGGCAGGGAAGGAUCGUGCAGGAGGAGCAUCCACUCCCUUCCCCACCCACCCACACCACCCUGGGAGGCAGGUUGUACCAGUGAUGUCAAGGUAGUACUCCUUAAUGAUCACUGUGUUCCUGAAGUAGGGUUUGCUUCGAAAAGAAACUUAGCAGCGUGCAGCGGGACCAGAGAUAGCUCAGUUCCUACACCUGCCAUGACCAGAAGGAGGGAAAAUGUGCCAGUUUCUAGGGUCUGCAGCUUGCCUGCGGUGCAGGCAUCAACAGCUUCUGCCUCUCCACUCAAGUGCUCUCACCGCAUCAGAUGAUCCCCCACUUCCCUGCCCAGCUCCCCUACCUGUCCUCAUUUUCCCUCACUGACCUUCAAAUCUAUCAUGUGGCUAAGCAAGUCUUCAUCUUGUUCACUGAUCAUGACGGAUAGUUGGUGAUUGUUCACAAUCCGCUGCAGGUCAAGGAGCCAGUCAUGCCACGUGCCAGGCCAGGUAGAGCCACAAGCAACAGGGCUGGUCUGGGAGGGAACAGGUGAGAGGGUAAGAGGCAGAAACCCUAGGGGCCUGCAAAUGGAAGAAAGGGUCAGACAUGUUAUAUCUUUCUCUUAAGCGGCAGGAGAAAACAAACUACAAGUGUCAGAAUUUUUUUCCCUUCUCUAUACAAAAUUAAAAGGAGGUUUUUUUUUUUAAAAUUCUGUGUUGCCAU